AGAGUUUGAUCAUGGCUCAGAUUGAACGCUGGCGGCAUGCCUUACACAUGCAAGUCGAACGGUAACAGGUCUUCGGAUGCUGACGAGUGGCGAACGGGUGAGUAAUACAUCGGAACGUGCCCGAUCGUGGGGGAUAACGAGGCGAAAGCUUUGCUAAUACCGCAUACGAUCUACGGAUGAAAGCGGGGGAUCUUCGGACCUCGCGCGGACGGAGCGGCCGAUGGCAGAUUAGGUAGUUGGUGGGAUAAAAGCUUACCAAGCCGACGAUCUGUAGCUGGUCUGAGAGGAUGAUCAGCCACACUGGGACUGAGACACGGCCCAGACUCCUACGGGAGGCAGCAGUGGGGAAUUUUGGACAAUGGGCGAAAGCCUGAUCCAGCCAUGCCGCGUGCAGGAUGAAGGCCUUCGGGUUGUAAACUGCUUUUGUACGGAACGAAAAGCCUCUUUCUAAUAAAGAGGGGUCAUGACGGUACCGUAAGAAUAAGCACCGGCUAAYUACGUGCCAGCAGCCGCGGUAAUACGUAGGGUGCAAGCGUUAAUCGGAAUUACUGGGCGUAAAGCGUGCGCAGRCGGUUUUGUAAGACAGAGGUGAAAUCCCCGGGCUCAACCUGGGAACUGCCUUUGUGACUGCAAGGCUGGAGUGCGGCAGANGGGGAUGGAAUUCCGCGUGUAGCAGUGAAAUGCGUAGAUAUGCGGAGGAACACCGAUGGCGAANGCAAUCCCCUGGGCCUGCACUGACGCUCAUGCACGAAAGCGUGGGGAGCAAACAGGAUUAGAUACCCYGGUA
rnacentral:rRNA from 1 species